GGGUGACUGCCUUCAAGAAAGGAUCUCUUCCUGUAGAUCCUUUGUUGGUGAAGUUUUCCCCUGCAAACCUAGAGUUUUCUGAUAUGGGCAGUGCAUUUCAGGACAUCAGCCCAUGUGAAGUCCUUACCUGCCCACAAACAGGCUGCUUCCUGCAAAGGAGUGCUGCAUAGCCAGAGAGCCCCUUCAUUGGUUGGG